rnacentral:rRNA from 1 species
AGUGAACGCUGGCGGUAGGCCUAACACAUGCAAGUCGAACGGCAGCACAGUAAGAGCUUGCUCUUACGGGUGGCGAGUGGCGGACGGGUGAGGAAUACAUCGGAAUCUACUUUUUCGUGGGGGAUAACGUAGGGAAACUUACGCUAAUACCGCAUACGACCUACGGGUGAAAGCAGGGGAUCUUCGGACCUUGCGCGAUUGAAUGAGCCGAUGUCGGAUUAGCUAGUUGGCGGGGUAAAGGCCCACCAAGGCGACGAUCCGUAGCUGGUCUGAGAGGAUGAUCGGCCACACUGGAACUGAGACACGGUCCAGACUCCUACGGGAGGCAGCAGUGGGGAAUAUUGGACAAUGGGCGCAAGCCUGAUCCAGCCAUACCGCGUGGGUGAAGAAGGCCUUCGGGUUGUAAAGCCCUUUUGUUGGGAAGGAAAAGCAGCAGGUUAAUACCCUGCUGUUCUGACGGUACCCAAAGAAUAAGCACCGGCUAACUUCGUG